rnacentral:misc_RNA from 1 species
UUUACGUGCUGUCUCACUCCUUGCACCUGUAAUGGGCUCAGAAAUUACAUGUUCUAAACUGCUGCCAGUGGUCAUCAAUGCAUCAAAAGACAGGUACAUGGAUUGAUGUAACUCACUAACCUAAUAUAAAAAUUUCUUUAUGUAACAUGGUGUUCUCUCUAUUGAACUUCAUUUCAUUCUGCAGGGUACCCAACAUUAAGUUCAAUGUAGCAAAGGUGCUGCAAUCCCUCAUUCCUAUAGUUGAUCAGUCAGUAAGUGUUUUUGUGUUUUAUUUUUUUAUUUGAAAAAAAAGGGCUUUAUAUUUAUGCUAUUCAAUUAGCAUUCAUUCCACUGGAAGAAGGUUUGUGCUCUUACCCUUGUCUAAUUGCUCCUUGCCUUGGCCAAAAAUUGAUCUAAUAGGUUGUGGAGAAGACCAUCCGCCCCUGUUUGGUUGAACUGAGUGAGGAUCCAGAUGUUGAUGUCCGGUUUUUUGCCAACCAAGCACUUCAGGCAAUCGAUAAUGUCAUGAUGUCUAGCUAGACUGCUUUUAUGCACCGUGCUGAGUCUAUUAUAGUUCCCAUUUAUGACCAUCUUGCUGGAGGUGCCAUAAUUCUCUCCAUCAGAUUAGUUCCCUGCCUCUUGAUGUUUCCUUAGUGAGUGCAAUUCUCGUGGGUCUGUGACUAACAUGCAGCUGCCAUUUUUGGCGUUUAAUUUUGUGUGUUUUAGUGUAGUGUGUUGUAUAAACAUUUUUAUUUUCUUAUUCAAUUUCGAUUAUAAAAACCCAAAAAUGGCUUUUCUUUGAUGAAGAUUUCCAUAUUGCAUCCGUUUUUUCCACAAGACUGGUUCGGGUCCUUCCAGAGGCUGGAUCGGUGGACUUCUAACUGGUCAGUCUCGGUGCAGCAUCCCUAUAAAGCCAGGAUGCAUCUGGCUGGAAUCUGUUUAUUUUAUAAUUUGGGAUAGGAUUUCUGAUUUAUAACACUUGAUGAAAUAGAUAGUGAAAUUGAUUCGUGGGAGUUCAUUGGCAAUGAGAUCUUGUAGCUAAAAUGAAAAACUUUCACAACGCGAUGCGAUCUUAAACCUUGAUUUUAAACGGUGGUGCCUCAUUUACUCUUAUGCGUCUGCACACUCUGAUUCUGUGAACGUGCUUUGCUCCUGAUAAAAACAAAAUGAUGUCGUUUUAUUUGGGUAAGGUUGGUCUUGCACUUCAAAAUCUUAUAAAUUUUGUAAGAUUUGUACAAAGGUUUUGGAGAUGUAAUUCCGGGUAGGACUUACAAAGGUUGCUCAGCACAUGAGCUUCCUAAGAUCUACUACAAGGAAGUUACAGGGUUUGUAGGUUUGUAGGUGAGGUAGAGGUAGUGCAAGAUGGGAAGUGAAUCGACCUUUUUGCUCCUUUCUUCACCUCGGGGUGAAACUCCUUCAGGACCUUCUUUGGAUUCUCUCGGCUUAAGAAGCUUGAAAGGAAGAAGCUUGAAAAGGGAGAAGCUCGUAUUGAAGAGGCUUGGGUUGAAGAAGCUUAAAGCUUGUGUUUAAGAAGCUUCCUUUUUUGUCUUGGAUAGAUGCCUCCUUAUAUACUUGACCAGUGUCUAAGCAGUUCUUCCUAUCAAGUAAACAGUGCUCGAACAGUGCUUGAACAGUUCUUCACAGGCUUGGGUUGUAAGUCCUGUCUUUGUAGCCGAGAGGGCGUGUUUAGGGCAGUGAUUCCUUUGGCAAUUACCUCACUUAUCUCAAACGAUCAACCUAGAAAAAUUCUUUAA